ACCUCAAAGCUAGCCUAAAUAUUAAUAUUAAUAAACCUUAUAAACUUAAUUUAUUACAUUAUAGUUUUUAAUUAAAACAUUUUAAAUUCUAGUAUGGGCGACAGAACAAUAACCUUAGCGCAAUAGCUUAUGUACCGCAAGGGAAUGCUGAAAAAGAAAUGAAACAAAUUAUUAAAGUACUAAAAAGCAGAGAUUAUACCUCGUACCUUUCGCAUCAUGAUUUAGCUAGAAAAACUAGGCAAAAAGAUUUUAAGUCUAUCCUCCCGAAACUAAACGAGCUACUCCGAAGCAGCAUCAAAGAGCCAAUCCAUCUCUGUGGCAAAAGAGUGGAAAGACUUCCAAGUAGUGGUGAAAAGCCUACCGAGUUUAGUGAUAGCUGGUUACCCAAGAAAAGAACUUCAGUUCUGCAUUAAUUUUUUAAUUACCUACAAAAGAAUUUCUCCACAAAAGAAUUUAUAAAAAUUAAUAGUUAUUUAGAAGAGGUACAGCCCUUCUAAAUUAAGAUACAACUUUUUAAGGUGGAAAAUGAUCAUAAUUAUUAAGGUAAAUUUCCCAGCGGGCCUAAAAGCAGCCAUCUAUUAAGUAAGCGUUACAGCUCUAACUCAACACUAAACCCUUAAUUUAGAUAUUACCUCAAUACCCCCUUUUACCUAUUGGGUUAUUUUAUAAAAAUAUAAAAGAAAUUAUGCUAAAAUGAGUAAUAAGAGAACAUAUCUCUCCCGACAUAAGUGUAUAUCAGAAAGAAUAAAAUCACUGAUAAUUAAACGACCCCAGAUUGAGGCCAUUAUAAUACUUAACUAUUAACUAGAAAAUUCUAUUACUAAUCUCGUUAAUCUUACACAAGAAUGUCACCAGGAAAGAUUAAAAGAAAAUAAAGGAACUCGGCAAACAUAAACUCCGCCUGUUUACCAAAAACAUCGCCUCUUGAUAAAAUAUAAGAGGUCCCGCCUGCCCUGUGAUAAUAUUUAACGGCCGCGGUACCUUGACCGUGCGAAGGUAGCAUAAUCACUUGUCUUUUAAAUGAAGACUUGUAUGAAAGGCAUCACGAGAAUUUAACUGUCUCUAUUUUCUAAUCAAUGAAAUUGAUUUAUUCGUGCAGAAGCGAAUAUAAUAACAUUAGACGAGAAGACCCUAUGGAGCUUUAAACACUUAAAUUAAUUAUAUAACAAUUUUCCUCUCAGGAUUUAAACUCAAUAUAUAAUAAUCUUAAUUUAACUGUUUUCGGUUGGGGUGACCAAGGGGAAAAAUAAAUCCCCCUUAUCGAUUGAGUACUAAAUACUUAAAAAUUAGAAUAACAAUUCUAAUUAAUAAAAUAUUUACCGAAAAAUGACCCAGGAUUUCCUGAUCAAUGAACCAAGUUACCCUAGGGAUAACAGCGCAAUCCUUUCUUAGAGUUCCUAUCGAAGAAAGGGCUUACGACCUCGAUGUUGGAUCAGGACAUCCUAAUGGUGUAGCCGCUAUUAAGGGUUCGUUUGUUCAACGAUUAACAGUCCUACGUGAUCUGAGUUCAGACCGGAGAAAUCCAGGUCAGUUUCUAUCUAUGAAUUUACUUUUCCUAGUACGAAAGGACCGGGAAAGUAGGGCCAAUGCCACUUGCACGCCCUAUUUUUAUCUGUUGAAUAAAAAUUAAAUAGAUAAGAAAAGAGCACCUAGUGCCCAAAAACAGGGUU
rnacentral:rRNA from 2 species